rnacentral:rRNA from 1 species
GACGAACGCUGGCGGCGUGGAUUAGGCAUGCAAGUCGAACGGUAGAUAUCCUUCGGGGUAUUGAGAGUGGCGAACGGGUGAGUAACACGUAGGUAAUCUACCCUCAAAUCGGGGACAACCCAGGGAAACUUGGGCUAAUACCGGAUGAGUGCAGCACCUAAAUCAUCCAUACGGAAUCUGGUUAAGAUUGGGUUUUGUAUGGUUGGGUGAUUUAGGUGCUGUAUAAAAGAUGGCUUCGGCUGUCGUUUGAGGAUGAGCCUGCGCUCUAUUAGUUAGUUGGUGAGGUAAUGGCUCACCAAGGCGAUGAUAGAUAGGCGGCCUUAACGGGUGGUCGCCCACACUGGGAUUGAGAUACGGCCCAGACUCCUACGGGAGGCAGCAGUGGGGAAUUUUGGACAAUGGGGGCAACCCUGAUCCAGCCAUGCCGCGUGAGUGAAGAAGG